rnacentral:rRNA from 1 species
AUACGGAGGGUGCAAGCGUUAUCCGGAUUCAUUGGGUUUAAAGGGUGCGCAGGCGGACUUGUAAGUCAGUGGUGAAAUCCCGGGGCUCAACCUCGGAACUGCCAUUGAUACUGCAAGUCUUGAGUUUGGUUGAAGUGGGCGGAAUGUAGCAUGUAGCGGUGAAAUGCAUAGAUAUGCUACAGAACACCGAUCGCGAAGGCAGCUCACUAAACCAACACUGACGCUCAGGCACGAAAGCGUGGGGAGCGAACAGGAUUAGAAACCCGUGUAGUCC